GGAGGUAGUGACAAUAAAUCUCAAUACGAAGCCUUUGGUUUUGUAAUUGAAUUGAGAACAAUGUACAAUCGUUAUCGAUAAACAAUUGGAGGGCAAGUCUGGUGCCAGCAGCCGCGGUAAUUCCAGCUCCAAUAGCGUAUAUUAACGUUGUUGCAGUUAAAAAGCUCGUAGUUGAAGUUUAGAUAAUUUGUUGAGAGUGUUAGUAUUCGUACUAUCUGCUCUCUUUGGAUUAUCGACUUCCAGGUAAGCUCAAUAAUCCCUCCGGGGACUAUCGAGCCAGACUGGUCCUUUACUGUGAGAAAAUUAGAGUGUUUAAAGCAGACUUUUUUAGUUUGAAUAGAUUAGCAUGGAAUAAUAAGAUUGGCUUUCAUAGUCGAUUUUUUGGUUUGUUUAUGAAAGCAAGAUUAAUAGGGACAGUUGGGGGUAUUCAUAUUCAAUAGCUAGAGGUGAAAUUCUAUGAUUUAUGGAAGAUGAACAAGUGCGAAAGCA
rnacentral:rRNA from 1 species